UUCGUAAAUAAGUAGUCAUGCUAUAUAGAAAAUUCAGUACAAAUUGUACAAUAGAAUAAAAAUUUUGAAAAAAUUUUAUAAGAUCCUAUAAAAUAUGAUACAAUAAAGAGAACUAGAAAGAGAGAGAGUUGUGGGAGUACGAGUUAGUGUCCAAUAAAGAGAACUAGAAAGAGAGAGAGUUGUGGGAGUACGAGUUAGUGUCCUGAGAAGAGAUUUAGGAAAAGAAAGUAUGGAGAGAAAAAAAUAGGUCUUAGCGGGAUAAUAAUUGUCUAGAAGAGAAGGGUAGGUUACACAGCGGUUGGUAGGAAGAGGAGAGGGAGGAGAAAAAAAGAAUAAGAUGUUGGAUAUAUUGUUAUUGGAUAUAUUGUUAUGUAUAAUCCAAAUAAUAUGUUCAUGUUGGAUAUAUUGUUAUAAUAUAAUCCAAAUAAUAUGUUCACAUACAAGUCCAAUAGUUAAAAGGUUAUUAAGGCCCAUUAACUGGAGCCCAAUAGCUUAUUUAUUAACUCUAGAGUUUUCCUACGCUGGAGGUAACACUGUUGAGCGUUCCAAAAUUGACGUCUCUUGGUGUAAUACUUUAAGCACCUAAAAACCCAUCUAUUCUCUAAAACGAUAAUCUCCAACAAUCUUAAAGUAUUACGAUCGUAUGUCGGAUUUGAGCGAGUAAGGUGUUGAUUUGAAGAUCUCGUCAAGACGAACUCACCGGUAUAAUUUAUUUUCGAUUUUGAUGGUCAGAUUGGCCGGGAUCUGAGUUUGAAAGUCAGCAGCCGAAAUCUUUGAUUUAAAAACCCCAGAAAUUAUAGCCAAUUUCAGAGGGUGAAACCACUUGGGUUCUAUUCUACUCGUCGAUAUGAACGUUUUGAGUGGUUGCUCGUCUCGAACGGAGGUCGGACGACGGAGUUACGGCAACCGAAAAUUUUUAGCAGUUUUCGGCGACGAGGGCAGUUCAUCUUAAGGUUUUUGGGCGCUACGGAUCCAUUUUUGGGUCUUUUUUUUUGGCAAAUUCAACCUCCAACAUAAGAUUGGAAAAAUGGGAGAGAGAAGAGGGAUAAGAUCGAGAAGAGGGAGAUGGAGAGGCGCAUAGGAGAGAGAGGAGGAAGAGAGGAGGAAGGAGAGGUUGGGAUAAAAAGAACUGUCAAAUAGUAUGUUUGUAUAGAUGUAUAUACUGUGAGAGAUAAGUAUAUUAGAAUACGAUUAGCAGGAAGAGGAGAGAGAAAGGACAAAAAAUGGAUAGGAUUAGGAGAAAGGGUGAGAGAAGGGAGAUAAGAUUGAGAAGAGGAAGAUGGAGAGGCGCAUAGAAAAGAGAGGAGGAAGGAGAGGCUGCCAUAUGGAUUAAAGGAACUGUUAAAUAAUAUAUUUGUAUAGAGGAUGUAUAGAUGUAUAGAUAUAUAGAUGUAUUUGAAUAGAUUGUGGUAUCCUCUAAUUAUUGCUCAAGGGAUGCCACUGUUGGAGUGCCUUGAGAGUAAUCGACUACACGACAACUCAUGUCUGACUUCGAUUGUGAUGAGUUGUGAUAUCUCUUCGUAAUACUUUUCAAAUAAAAUCUAGCGGUUAUACUAUAAAACCAAAAUAUUUUAAUGUUAAAGUGAAAUGUACCGAUCGUCUCUAGUGCAAGUGGCAAAGGGCUUGAUGGUUGGUAUUUGAGAUCGCAAGUUCGAAUCCUAGUUGAUUCACAUUUUCAGCUAAAUUUAUUUCUAAAAGAAUUAAACAAACGGGUAACAUGCUACCUAGCGAAACGAUGCAAUGAUACUUUAUUUAAAGAGGUUUCUCCAAUGAAGAAAAGAAUACAAUCCGAUGAGAUUU
rnacentral:lncRNA from 1 species